GAUAAUGCGGGUGAAAAACCCGCACGCCGGAAGACCAAGGGUUCCUGUCCAACGUUAAUCGGGGCAGGGUGAGUCGACCCCUAAGGCGAGGCUGAAAAGCGUAGUCGAUAGGAAACGGGUUAAUAUUCCCGUACUGGUGGUAACUGCGAUGGGGGAACGGAGAAGGCUAGGUUGUCCGGGCGACGGUCGUCCCGGUUCAAGCAGGUAGGCAGAGUGAUUAGGCAAAUCCGGUCACUUAUGCUGAGAUGUGAUGACGAACCACCAAGGUGGUGAAGCAAUUGAUGCCCCGCUUCCAGGAAAAGCCUCUAAGCUUCAGGUUACCAACAAUCGUACCCCAAACCGACACAGGUGGUCAGGUAGAGAAUACUCAGGCGCUUGAGAGAACUCGGGUGAAGGAACUAGGCAAAAUGGUGCCGUAACUUCGGGAGAAGGCACGCUGGCGGUAGGUAAAGUCCCUCGCGGACGGCGCUGAAGCCAGUCGAAGAUACCAGCUGGCUGCAACUGUUUAUUAAAAACACAGCACUGUGCAAACACGAAAGUGGACGUAUACGGUGUGACGCCUGCCCGGUGCCGGAAG
rnacentral:rRNA from 1 species